rnacentral:rRNA from 1 species
GAGUUUGAUCCUGGCUCAGGACGAACGCUGGCGGCACGCCUAACACAUGCAAGUCGAACGGAGAUAUUUUGGUUUACUGAGAUAUCUUAGUGGCGGACGGGUGAGUAACACGUGAGCAACCUGCCUCUGAGAGAGGGAUAGCUUCUGGAAACGGAUGGUAAUACCUCAUAACAUAACGAAGCCGCAUGACUUUGUUAUCAAAGAUUUAUCACUCAGAGAUGGGCUCGCGUCUGAUUAGAUAGUUGGUGAGGUAACGGCUCACCAAGUCGACGAUCAGUAGCCGGACUGAGAGGUUGAACGGCCACAUUGGGACUGAGACACGGCCCAGACUCCUACGGGAGGCAGCAKUGGGGAAUAUUGCACAAUGGGGGAAACCCUGAUGCAGCGAUGCCGCGUGGAGGAARAAGGWUUUCKGAUUGYAAACUCCUGUCUUAURGGACKAUAUGACGGGUACUUG